AUGGCAAGUCGAGCGAGGACUUCGGUCCUAGCGGCGGACGGGUGAGUAACGCGUGGGAACGUGCCCUUCUGUGCGGAAUAGCCUCGGGAAACUGAGAGUAAUACCGCAUACGCCCUUCGGGGGAAAGAUUUAUCGCAGAAGGAUCGGCCCGCGUCUGAUUAGGUAGUUGGUGGGGUAAUGGCCUACCAAGCCUACGAUCAGUAGCUGGUUUGAGAGGAUGAUCAGCCACACUGGGACUGAGACACGGCCCAGACUCCUACGGGAGGCAGCAGUGAGGAAUCUUGGACAAUGGGGGCAACCCUGAUCCAGCCAUGCCGCGUGAACGAUGAAGGCCUUAGGGUUGUAAAGUUCUUUCAGUCGUGAAGAUAAUGACGGUAGCGACAGAAGAAGCCCCGGCUAACUCCGUGCCAGCAGCCGCGGUAAUACGGAGGGGGCUAGCGUUGUUCGGAAUUACUGGGCGUAAAGCGCGCGUAGGCGGACUAUUAAGUCAGGGGUGAAAUCCCGGGGCUCAACCCCGGAACUGCCCUUGAUACUGGCAGUCUAGAGGUCGAGAGAGGUGAGUGGAAUUCCGAGUGUAGAGGUGAAAUUCGUAGAUAUUCGGAGGAACACCA
rnacentral:rRNA from 1 species